rnacentral:tRNA from 1 species
UGGGGCGUGGUGCAAUGGCAGCACAGCGGACUUUGGAUCCGUUGAUCUUGGUUCGAAUCCAGGCGCCCCAGCCU